CAGAUCGGGCGGUGGCUCCGUGGCUGCUGAAGCUGUGGUUCUGUGGCCGGUUGAAGGCAGUGGAACGGGCGAAAGUGUUACCCCGGCGCUGCUGUUCUUCCGCCGCUGAAGAAGGAAACCGAAGGGGAAACCGCCGUGGCUGAGGAGGGUGAGGGGGAGUGAACGCUGUGCAAGGGCUGAGAUGGAGGGAAAUUGGGAAGAAAAGUCUUGACCGGCGGCUGUUUGGCAAUUUAAAGGAGAAGAGAAAAAAAAUCAAAAGGUGGGGGCUGUUUGGCCGGCGGCUGGUCUGUAAGGAGGAAAAUGAGCAGCCGAGAGAGGGUGUGCAGUGGUGGCUGAGCAAAGGGCUCAGGCUGGCCAGGGAGAAGAAGAGAAAAAAAAGUGUGCGGCUGUUUGGGGGGAGUGCCGUUUGGCUGGUUUAAAAAAAUGUCAGGGGCCGGCAGCUGCCUUGAGAAAAAUGGAGAAGAUAGGUUUAGGGUUGAGUUUUUUUUGUAUUUUUUUUUGGUGUUUCCAAAUUAGCCCCCCCCUCUAUUGCAAGUGUUGGAAACCAGUAUUUAUAGACAAAUUUUACUAGGUUUUUCAACUUGUCCCUCAACUUCUUUCUUUUUGUAAAUUUGAUUUAUUAUUUUUUUGUAUUUUUUGAAAACGAGCAAUAUCAACGUCGACUCAAAAUACAGAAAAUCAAUGAUUUUAAAAAUGACGCGUGAAAAGUCGAACGCGUUCGAAAAUCUUUUGAAAAAUUAAAUUCUUUAAAUAAAAAUUAAAAUCUUUUUAGACGACGCUGAAAAUGCUAAAAUGACGAGAAUAUAUUAAAAAACAUAUUUUUUGGAUUUCAUUGCUUUCUCAAUUUUUGGAUUUUUUUUUGAAAAUAUAUCAAACAUGGGUCAAAAAUUGGGUAGCAACAGAUGCCCCCUCUUUACAAUGCUUACGAAGUAAAACUCUUCAAAAGUUUGCAUAGUAAGCUUUGUAAAGAAAACAAAAAGAAAAUGAUUUCAUUAUCUUGGGCGACCUGCCCACACACUCACACUGAUCUGUUUUCACGGGCGACCUGCCCACGCAUACUCACUCUAGUCUAUUUUCACGGGCGACCUGCCCACACAUACUCACUCAAGUCUAUUUUCACGGGCGACCGACCCACGCUCUCCUAAUAGUCUAUUUUCACGGGCGACCUGCCCACACAUUGGUUUACCUGAGAUCCCAUCUGGCGACCUCAUUCAAACUGGAACGAAAAUAUGUGUAACUCGGUUAACCUGAAAUCCCAUCUGGCGAUUCCCUUUAACCAAAGUUACAUGAGAUCCCAUCUGGCGACCUCAUUCAACUGGAACGAAAUAUAUGUAACUCGGUUAACCUGAAAUCCCAUCUGGCGAUUCCCUUUAACCAAAGCUACAUGAGAUCCCAUCUGGCGACCUCAUUCUGGUCUCAUUGUACGGGUGACUAACCCUCGAAAAAUGUUGGUCUCAUUGUACGGGUGACGAACCCUAGUGCUGUUGGUCUCAUUGUACGGGUGACGAACCCUAGUGCUGGUCUCAUUGUACGGGUGACGAACCCUAGAAAAAUGCUGGUCUCAUUGUACGGGUGACGAACCCUAGAAAUAUGAUGGUCUCAUUGUAUGGGUGACGAACCCCAGAAAUAUGAUGGUCUCAUUGUAGGGGUGACGAACCCCAGAAAAAUGAUGGUCUCAUUGUACGGGUGACGAACCCCAGAAAUAUGAUGGUCUCAUUGUACGGGUGACGAACCCCAGAAAUAUGAUGGUCUCAUUGUACGGGUGACGAACCCCAGAAAAAUGAUGGUCUCAUUGUACGGGUGACGAACCCCCAGAAAUAUGAUGGUCUCAUUGUAUGGGUGACGAACCCAGAUGGAAAAAAUGUGAAGUGCGAUCUCAUUGUAAUGGGUGACCUACCCAUGUGGAAAAAAUAUGAAGUGCGGUCUCAUUGUAAUGGGUGACCUACCCAGAUGGAAAAAAUAUGACGAAGUGGUCUCGUUGUGAUGGGCGACCUACCCAAAUGGAAAAAAUAUGACGAAGUGGUCUCGUUGUGAUGGGCGACCUACCCAAAUAGAAAGAAUGUGAAGUGUGGUCUCGUUGUAAUGGGUGACAUACCCAGAUGGAAAAAAUGUAAAAUGUGGUCUCAUUGUAAUGGGUGACCUACCCAGAUGGAAAAAAUAUGAUGAACGGUCUUAUUAUGAUGGGCGACCUACCCAGAUGGAAAAAAUAUGAUAUGACAAGUGUGAAAAAUAGGACUUACCUGGCGAAGUCCCGAGGGGAUGACAGAAGAAAAGGCUGGAAAACUUGGUGCCUCCUGAUAAUUCCCGAUCAUGGGGUUUGAAAAAAAACUCGGUGUUUCCUGACUGCAAGAGUUGAAAACUCGAGGCUUCCCGGUUGCAAGGUUGAUCUAUUCAUUUCUUUGGGAUUUUCCUAAUGGUAGGGUUCACCCCAUCGUUCUUUUAUUCCAUGAUCAAAACCGAUUCUUUAUUAUCAUCACCACAAUGCUUCUUUCUCUUUCCACCAUCUUGCUGGACCUCAUUAAGGAUUCUCCUGUAACAAUUCAAAAAUAUGUGCAAAUUGUUUUUUUUUUUUUUUUUUUUUUUUUAGGUUAGAUGAUAUGCAUGCAUCCUUACCUGAUUUGAAACAUAGGUCCCCCCUCUUUGAUGCUCCAUCGUCAUAGGGUGCCCUUGUUUGCAUCCCAAAGCUUUCUUUGUUCUUCCGAUGCAUUGGCUCAUUCAUGUGCUAGCCAUCUACUCAACUGUAAAUGUAGUGCCCAUCCCGGGCUGUCUUCGACAAUUACUGCUUGCAUCGUUCAUCAAGCUUGACCCUGCCCCCAAGUGUAGUACUGCUUGAUUCAUCAUGAGAGAUUUUCUCUCCUGGCUUCUUCUGAGAACUUAUCCUCUGAUUGAUUGUAUGCAUCAUGCCAACACCCAUCACGUUUGUUAAUCAGUCAUGAACUUGUCUUCGGUUGAAACACCAUUCAAGUAUGUAUGGUCACCAGCCUUCAUGGAACUGCCAAGUCAUCCAGACAUGUAUCUCAUGCUUUGCAGUAAACAACUCAUCAUUGUAAGCGCGAUGUAUUUCUCUAUGGAUUCCUCUUAGCUUGUCAAAUCAGAUCGUGAAAAUACCUGCUUUGGCAUCAUCAACGAUGUUCAUGUUAUCACCCAUAUUCAUGCGGUGAAGUGCACAUUUGAGCUUCAGAAUAGAUGGUCCCAUCGUAAAUCUUGGUGGUAUGCAUAUGUUCGUUGUUCAUCCAAAUGCACUCACCCGAUAACAUCUAUCCGGAGUCAUAUCCAUGUUUUACAAAGUAACCUAAGAUAAAGAUAUGAAAAUAUCUUUCUAGUGCAGCGUUGCUCAUCAAUUGCUGCUGAAGUGCACUAGAUCAUGGAUUGUCUUUGAACAACAUUGGCCUCAGUAUGAUCUGAAGGUUCAUUCAUCGGUUUAUACUCAAGAAGGUUUUUCUUUGUCAUUGUCAGAUGCUAAACAUAACUUUGACGACUCAUCAUCGAAUUCUUUCUUUGCCCCCAGCUGAUCUGGAUACUGUUUGCUUUCCUUCUUAGGGUCCAAUGUAUUGCCCCCAGGUGGUCAACGUUUCAAGGAGUGUCGAGAAAUGUUGAUGUCAUUUUUGUCAAGAAUUUUGCAAACUCAAUUGAUGUUCUUGUUUGAAAAUCUUUCUUGUUCUGGAAUCAAAUCUCAAGAUUUCAACGAUCAUGUCUAUUCAAGUAUAAUUGUUGAAAUGAAAUCAGAGAGACAUCAGUUUUUGAAAAGUUAUUUUUGAAAUUCGAGCUCCUUUGGUCAAAGACCCAACACACUAUUCAAUGCAGUCCUUUGAUUGUCUUGUAUUUUGAAAAACAGAAAUGACACGUUGUAAGAUUUAAAAUGACUUUUUAUGGUUCUUUGUGUCCACUUUAAACUCUGAUUUUGGGUAUAUCUUUUGAUGGUUUGUGGUGAGGUGAUAAUUUUGUGAAUUUCAAAUGACUACAUGCUCAAGCUUGAUAAAGAAAGGUUGUUUCUUUUUUUAGUAUUUAUUUUAUCAGCAUGCAUAAUAACCAGUAGCCUAAUUCAAUGAAGCCACGACUCUUAUAGAAAAACUCUUCAAGUUUUGAGAUCGCCAUUUAUUGGGGUUCAGAUUGCUUGCUUGAUUAAAAAGGGCUUUUAAAAGCACGUAAUGCAGGCUAUGGUUCAUGGCUAUGAAAGAAAGGAAUUCCAUAGGCUCAAAAGGUGUUUGAGGGUUCCAACGACCUAGGACCAACAUUAACUAUUCAUCGAUUCUCUUUCUCUUGUUGUCAUUGUAGAGAGAGUGACAUAUAACCUUGUUAAUCUUCAAAUAUCAGAAUUCUCUUGACAUAAGUCAUAAUGCAAAUCCACUUUUGAUGAAUAACCAACCUUAAUCAUCUGAUAACAUCGUAGGUUUUAUAAUGGAUACCAAAAGUCAACGCUUAUAGCUUAGUCUUUUCUGGUAUUGACUUUUGUUGUGCAUUUCCUUGAUUGAAAUUUAUUUUGCUCUUCAUAGACUUGAUAGGCGUUCUCCUUCCUUUAUCUUUGACUUGUAUUUAAGUGAAGGCAAUUUCAAUUUCUUCUUUUUUUUUUCUUUUUUUUUUUUCAUAGCCUUCCUCAAAAUUUUCUUAUAUGCCCCCAGUCUAUGUGUUUUCUUUUAGCUCUCUCUCAAUCAUUGGACCUUUGUUCUAAGCCUUCCCCUUUAUCCAUUAAUUAUAUCAAUGUCUCCAAAAUAUCUCUCAUUUGCCCCCAGUGCGGGGUGUGAUCCUAGUCAGGGUUUCCUUUUGAAAGAAAAUAUUUCACCAGGCUCAAAAUGGGACUACAAGGGAUAUAAUCUUUAGAAAGUGAAGGGAUAUCAAAGAUGGCCUUUUCUCAUUUCAAGCAAGGUCGGUUAAAACCGAUAAAUUUUGACCUCAUCCAGUGUAAUGAUGGGGACUUGUAAGAAUCAUGAUUCACGAGUCCAUAACUAUUGAAUCCACUACAUGUCAUUAUGCAUACUGUUAAAACUUAGCUAUAUGAUGUGUGGUUCAGUUUCAAAAGGUAUGAGUUCAAAAUUGUUUGGUCACCUCAUGUCAUUUUCAAGCAUAGAGUCAUUUCUGUAAUCAAAACACUUCCAAUCUUCCAGAUUGAUUAACCUUUAUCGCAUGUUGGAGUUUGAUCAAAAUAUUUUUGUCAGAAUAAAAUGCUAAACAUCUGUUGAUUUCAAAACAACGAAGAGACAAAGGCAAGACAUGUUUCGUUGAAGGAUGAGAUGUGAUCUCAAAACAAAAUGCAGAAUUCCAAAACAAUAUGAUUGACUGUUCAUCACCAUUCUCGAAUCAGCUUUUCUGGCAAUAUCUGUGUUUUGCAAAGCAUUUUCGAUCACAUGUGAUUCUGAAGUUGUUCGGGGAACAAUAUAGCCAGUGACACCCUUCUUCAACGACUCCACUUGUCUCUUGCUCACCAACUUUCAGACUCGCUUCUCAAUUCUUGAAUUGCACUUGAAAUGGUUGAGGACCCCAUCAUGACAUCACAUCUCUUCUGGAUUAACCACCCAGAAAUGGUGGUUGCAUGGAUUUGUCGGAGUCAAGCAAAAUUCUGGAAUCUGGCAGAUGCUGGUCGACAAACUUAAAUGGCAGAGGAAUGUCCCAUCUUGGCAAAGAUAUUUUAGCAAUUGAUGAUGCGUGAGACCUGGCUAUACACAUAAUUAAGGGUUCACACUGUCAAAGUCAUCUCCUGAUUCACCUCUCAUCAUUGUUCUAGAAUCCAUGGCAGAUCCUUCAAUCUUUCUUCUCUUCAUAGCUUGUUCAAUUCUUCGGCAAAUCCUCAACAGCAUUAUUUCAAUCUCCAAUGUUGCUAUGGUUGGUUGAGGAUUGUUAGAAAACUUUCUAACAGCUUGGUAAUCUUGGCAGCGCCCAGAAACUUGUAGUAUCGCCACUACCGACGUGUGGAAUCACACAUUGUCUUUUGGAAGAGCACCUGAUGAAUCUAAAACUCCUUCCCCUCUUCAUUUCUCACUGACAGUGCAGCAAACAAACACCUAUAGAGGAAGUCCUGCUCUGUUGAAGUUUUAGUAUUCUUCAUGUUUUUCAGUCUAGGCAUGUAUCUUCUCUCUACUUUUGCAUUUUAAUACUGACACUGUUGGAGAAAAAUCAUAAAUGAUCUGAAACUACUGUAUUCCUUCUUGGAUUUCCCACUUGCGGAUCCACAAAUAGAUUCCUGUCAGGAGAGCUCUGCUACGUUGAAGUUUGAUGUCUGCUCAUAUUUUUCAAGCCAAGUCUGGCUCUUCAACCUGCUAUAGUUUCUUCGUGCUGAAACUGAUGAGAGAAAUAUUUGUAGCAUAUGCAAUUAGUAAAUCCCCUCUUGCAUUCCCAAUUUGCAGAGCCAUAAAUGGAUUUUUGUAGAGAGAGCUCUGCCACAUUGAAGUUUGACAACUGCUAAUAUUAUCAGACCAGGUCUGACUCUUCUGCCUACUACAAUGUUUUGCUGGUGCCACUAGUGGGAAAAAGUUUCAAAGCAUAUGAAAUUAAUACAUUCCCUUUUGCAUUUGCCAUUGACAGAUCCACAAAUAAAUCUCUACAGAGAGAGCUCUACCGCGUUGAAAUUCAGUGUCUGAUCAUGGUUUUUCAGACUAACAUCUUGUGUUGCUGAACUGGAAUUGAGCUCAUAAUCGGGGUAACUUCAAAGCAGACUAAUGCACCAUGAACAGGAGGCUAGUAGUCGUUUGGUUCCAUUAGAUGAUGUGGAGGCGAUGAACACUUAACAGUGUAACUGGACAAGAAUCAGAGUUGUCAUUAGUUGAUGACUGAAGGCAUUGUUGCUUUUGUUCAUGACUGAAAAGGAGAGGCAACUUCAAUUGGACGUGGACAAGCAGUGUUCCCACAGAAAACUGUGCAGACAUUCUCUUUUCAUUUGAUGCUCAACAUUUGUUCGAGCAGAUCUUAGUCCCGCUACUUCACUCUUGAUGCUCUCAACCCUAAUCUGAUACUGAACCUAUAGCUGACUCCUUUGUUCACUUCCAUUAUUUUUCUUCAAUCUCGUGCAGCACAACUUGUACAAGGGACCUACGUUUCGACCCGGUUCAUGCAUGAUAAAUGUAUGAACAUGUAAUCUAUAUGAUGAACUCUCCCUUCGAGAGGUGACAAUAUGGUCGUAACUCUUGUAUGAUGGACAAGAAUCGUGAUUUUUGCCCAAACUCUACAAUGAAAAUUUUCGGAGCAACGGCCAAUGUGUCACCCACAAGUCUUGAGUUCAAGAUGCUUCAAGAAGGGUUUGCCCUUAUGCAAAAAACGAUAGCACAUACAACCUAAGGACAGGUUCUAUUCAUUAUGUGAACAUGGGUAAGUUUUCUAUCUGGUCUCAAAAGGGUCUCAUAUCUGCCCAGUGACGUUCUUCGUAAAGACAGUUGGGGGCGUUGCAAGGAAUGGUUAAGGUACGUAUACCCACCAUUACCAAGCAGGCACUCAGAUAUGAGUUGGGUGUUUCACGCAUCUGAACCCCUGACCAAUAGUCUUAGGGCAGAUCGCUAGUUCCCCACCUAACCUAGAAGCUUGUGUGUGCUUUUAAAAAUAAAUACAGGUGAUGCAUGAGACAAUUCUAUAAAAUGCAUGGAAAUAAAUAUUAACAAAAAGACAAAAAUGCAAAAACUUAAACACAUCAAAUACACAAAGCUUAGUCCCAUACUCGAAAAAAUACCGUCCCCAGCGGAGUCGCCAUUCUGUCGCACCCCAAAAAAUCAGCGCGCGGCAUCGGCUGGCGAUUUAAAUCUCGUUUGUUGCGUUUGAUUGAAUUUGGUUCGUUGGAGUCGCCACCUAGUAAUUGAUUUCGGGCUACUAGGACACCGGAUGUACUGGUCUUGUCAGAGAUUCGCGGGUAAGGGACUGGUUGUGGUUAGGGAAGGUAUUAGCACCCCUAACGCACCCUACCUGAGGUAAGCUGCUUCGUGGCUUUGACGUGUUAAAGAAGUUUUAAUAAUUGUCUUUUCUUCGGAAAUUAGAAAUAUCACUUACGUAUAAGUUAAUAAUUCUUAACCGUGAUCCGAUCAAAAUAUUAAAUUCUUCUUUAAUGUAUUUGCAAUCUCAUCCUUAAAAAUAUAUACAAAUGAAUAAAACAAAAUACAAACACACACAUACACGUGUUAAAGAAGUUUUAAUAAUUGUUUUUUCAUCGGAAAUUAGAAAUAUCACUUACGUAUAAGUUAAUAAUUCUUAACCGUGAUCCAAUCAAAAUAUUAAAUUCUUCUUUAAUAUAUUUGCAAUUUUAUCAUUAAAAAUAUAUACAAAUAAAUAAAACAAAAUACAAACACACACACACACUUUCACUAUUUUUAUUCUUUUCUUUUCUUUUUCUUUUCUUUUACAUCCACAAAAUACAAAUACAAAUACAAAUACAAAUACAAAUUCAAAAUAAAUAAAUAAAAAUACACCAACACACACAUCCCCUUUGUUAUUAUUUCUUUUCUUUUCUUCUUUUCUUUUCUUUUACAUCCAAAUACAAAUACAACUUCAAAUUCAAAAUAAACAAAUAAAAAUUACAUUAAUUAAUUUAAAAAUUACAAAAACAGUCCCUAAAAUUCUAAAAAAUUUUAGGGAAGGACUUCUGCAGCCGGAACAGUGUUCGUCAUGGUUUCUGGGCUCGGGAACAGUGGGGGCGCGUGGAUCUCACACGCCGCCACCACUGGCGGCGCGUGGGUCCACGCGCCGCCACAGAAAAUAAAACAGCAACAGGGGGUCUGGAUCGCCUUCUUCCCCUCUUCCUUCGUCGCCGGCGAUAACCUGCAAAGCAAACCCCCAACACAACAAGCAGUUGAUUUUAUUUUUUUGUCUUAGAUCUGCUUUUAAUUUUUUUGUUUUCUCCGAUCUGUUCCUUCUCCUUCUCUUCUUCUCGGCUUCGGAUCUGCUCCUUCUACAGAUCGAUUCUGUUAUGGGUUUCUUCUUCUUCUCCGGUGGCAGAUCGGUCGUGGAGGAGCAGCUGUCCGUGGUCGCUGGGUUUCGUCUUCUUCUCCUGUGCUUCGGGUGGCAGAUCGGGCGGUGGCUCCGUGGCUGCUGAAGCUGUGGUUCUGUGGCCGGUUGAAGGCAGUGGAACGGGCGAAAGUGUUACCCCGGCGCUGCUGUUCUUCCGCCGCUGAAGAAGGAAACCGAAGGGGAAACCGUCGUGGCUGAGGAGGGUGAGGGGGAGUGAGCGGCUGUGCAAGGGCUGAGAUGGAGGGAAAUUGGGGAAGAAAAGUCUUGACCGGCGGCUGUUUGGCAGGUUUAAAGGAGAAGAGAAAAAAAAUCAAAAGGUGGGGGCUGUUUGGCCGGCGGCUGGUCUGUAAGGAGGAAAAUGAGCAGCCGAGAGAGGGUGUGCAGUGGUGGCUGAGCAAAGGGCUCAGGCUGGCCAGGGAGAAGAAGAGAAAAAAAAGUGUGCGGCUGUUUGGGGGGGGGAGGUGCCGUUUGGCUGGUUUAAAAAAAUGUCAGGGGCCGGCGGCUGCCUUGAGAAAAAUGGGAGAAGAUAGGUUUAGGGUUGAGUUUUUUUUGUAUUUUUUUUUUGGUGUUUCCAAAAUUAGCC
rnacentral:lncRNA from 1 species